GGGGCCGUAGGCUAGCCUGGUAGGCUUCCGGCAUGGGGUGCCGGCGACCCGAGUUUUCUACGGGAAUUCAAAAGGCAAACCCUGAAAGUCUCGGCGGCCCCA
rnacentral:tRNA from 1 species